ensembl:lncRNA
CAAAGCAACAUGUGAAUGCAGCCUGAGCUUCAGGAGAUGGCGCUCUAUAGGUAUUUUGGGCACAUAUCUUUCUCAGCGGAGCUACCAUGCUCAGGACAUACAUGGUACAUAGGACAGAAACUGUUUUUGCUCUCCUUGUGGAAAGAUGUUGAGUCAUCAUGAGAUCUAUUGUAGGAGUGCCAGAGCCAGAGAUACCAAUUCUGCAGGAAGAGCAGUGAAGCUGAGACUUAAAGACCAAGCCCUGAAGAGCACCUUGUUUGUUUAUGUUCAUUGCGCUCAUUCUCCUUCAAGGCUAUAGAAAACUUAUUUCUGGAAUUCAGCCAAUGGUAUGAUACAUGUUACAGAUCCCAUUCUUAGCUGCAAAGCUUCUGCUGCAUGUGGCUUAAGGAGACACUGCCCUUGGCAUGGUGAUGAACGUCUUGGUGAACCCCUGUGAUCAGAAGCUGCCUAUAGCAAAACUCUGCAGGGGUUCUUGCCAGAAUAGCCUCAGCUUGCACCCACAGUGUUCACCAGUUUCACCCCACUCAGCUUCAGAAAAGCACCAUCUGUGCAAGGGAGCAGUAGAGAUAAUUUUAGUUCUUGUCACAGUUUCUUGCCUGAUUCCCAUGAGACUUUUGACCUAUUAGAAAAUGGAUCGCAUCUAAGAGUAGCAUGUAACUAGAACUCCACCAAAAAAUAAAGAGUAAGAUUGCUUUUAAAAUACCUGUUUUAAUAUCCAUUUUUUUCUGCUGUGUUUUGGAAAGAUGUCAAUGUUCUGCGUUGUAGAGAGAACUUGGGAGACAAUGCAAGGCUCAGGAGUAACUGCUUCUUCCUUCAGGGGACCAGUGGGAUGUGUGGCUCUCACCUUUGGAUGCACAGGGCAUUUCCAUCUCAGUACAACACCUGCAGACCUUCCUUAGGUAUUGGCACCCUGGAGCUUCUUUGGCUCAGUCCAUAGCAUUAAGAGAUGGGGAUGUGUCAGCCUUGCACCUGCAGUGGACAAGCUGGGAUUUGUUUUGCAGUGUUGUUUCCCUGGUUAGGCUGUUUGGAGGCUGCAGUCCUAAGUACUGACAAAGAACAUGUGAAACCUGCAGGAACUUCAGAGGGGUUCAAAGCCCCAAGCAUAGAAUAGAAUCAUAUAAUCAAUAAGGUUGUAAUGGACCUCUAAUAUCAUCUAGUCCAACUGCUGACUCAUCACCACCAUACCCACUAACCAUGUUCCUCAGUACCACACUUAUCCUUUUCUUGAACAUCUCCAAGGACAGUGACUCCACCACCUCCCUGGGCAGCCCAUUCCAAUGCUCCAGUCUUACAGAAUCAUCGAAUCAAGUAGAGGAGGUGGAGGGGUGGAUGACUGCCUGUAAAAGCUCACUGCCAAAAGGAAUGGGAUUAAGCUCAUGUGGGACACAACAAGAUGGGUUGUCACUUCAACAGCAAUGACUCAGGCUAUUUAAUAGAAUGGGUAACUACCCAUGCGAUAAAUUGCCCCAUAAACUUUUUUCAGCCCAACAGACAGUUUAGACGAAAGCCAGAUGAACCAAGAACACACCAGGUACAGGUGAUCCUGAUUGGGAUGGAGAAAGAGACUGCAGAAACCCUUCCCAGCCCUCCCAAUGGGAAUUUAGCACUGAACAUAACCCCAUUGCAUCUGAGCCUGCAACCCAUCUUCAGGAUCAGUGGAAACAUUCAUCAAUUCUAUCACCAUCAAACUUCCACAUGAAGGAUAUGCUUUCUACCAAGCUGUCAGAAAGGGACACAGCCUCCACCUUGUGAAAUAGCCAUGAAGGUGAAUAUACAUCUAUGCUGCAUAUAUUUCACAGUUUGGUUGUAAGCUGGCCUUCCAGUUUAAAACUCCUAAGCUGUUCACAAAGGAAACCUUUUAAGGUAUGAAUCAAGGGAAAACAACAACAAAAACACAAAAAAGAUCUACCUUGCACAUAUGCACUGCUUUUUGAGAUUUUACACAUAUAUUUAUUUAAGGUGUAAGUUGUAUUAUAAUUUCACAUUGUGACGUGAGGAACAAAAUAGGGAAAAAAAUUUCCAAAGGUUAAAUUUGAGUAAAGGCCUGGGAAAGCACUGUCAUUUUGUGAAUUCCUCCUGUGACAUGCUCAGAGCAGGAUUCUCACUGGCUGUGAGGAACACAAGCUGCUCUUUAUAUACGCACUAGAGGAAGCUGAUGCCUGACCUCUGCUCAGACCUACUGCACUAUUUGCCUUAUUUUGGAAUUUCAGAUCAGCCAAAUGUAAUUUGUUGAACAACCUUUCCGUGUCAGCUCUCACACCUGGGGACCUGAGUGGUGUUUCUCAGGAUGGAAAAGAAUGGAGAGAUUAUUUUGAGGAGAAACUAGCUGUUCUGAGGACAAACAUCCACCCAGAUUAAGUUAGCUGUUAACCUUGAAAUAGAAUUGCACAAUUCUGAGCCAAAAUGCAGUCCUGGAGUCACUAAUGAUGACAUUCAUUUUCCGCAAAGCCCUUCAUCAUGCUGCAGAGCCUUUUCUCAGAAUGAACAUUGAGCUGCAGGGAGUUCUGGCAGUAGCACCACAAAGAGGUGUUUGGGGAGGAAAUCUGAGCUCCUGGCUCUGCACACCCCCGGGAGCACAUGAGGACAUGUUGUAAUUAACCACAGCAUGAAGCAGAAACCCAGCUGCCCAGAGCCAAACCUUCAGGGUCCUUCUUACCAUAGGAGCCCUGUGCAGGUCCAAAGGUAACUCUUCCAAACACUCAGAGCCCUUCUAUGACCCAAAUUUAUAUCACUGUAUUUCUAAACAAUACAAAAUGAAAAGAACUUGGGGAUGACCAGAUGGACAUGAGCCAGCAGUGUGCCAUUGUAGCCCAGUAAGCCAACUGUAUCCUGAACUGCAUCAAAAGAAGUAUGGCCACCAGGGGGAGGGAGGUGAUCCUGCCUCUCUACUGAAGCCUCUACUGAAGCUGGUGAAGCCUCACCUGGAGUACUGCAUCUAGAUGUGCAGUCCUCAGUACAGAAAUCCUCAUGAGAGAGAUGGACCUGUUGGAGCAUGUCCAGAGGUGGGCCACAAAAAUGGCCCAAGGGAUGAAAAGAGAUCUGAAUCCAAGAGAUCUGAGAGUGGCUUUUCUGUAUCAAAAAGGGGCUAUAAGGAAGGGGACAGACUCUUUAAACAGGGACUGCUGUGACAGGACAAGGAGAAAUGGUUUCAAACUAAAAGAAGGGAGAUUUAGAUUGGAUAUAAGGAAGAAGAUUUUUACAAUACUAGUGGUGAGGCACUAGGGCAGAUUGCCCAGAAAGGUGGUGGAUGCCCGGUCCCUGAAGACAUUCAAGGUCAGGCUGGACAGGACUCUGAGCAAAUCUGAUCUAGUUGUAGGUAUCCCUGUUCUUUGCAGGGGAGUUGAGCUAGAUGACCUUUGAGGGUUCCUUCCAACUGAAAUUAUUCUAUGAUUCUAUGAAAUGAUAAACAUCUGAGGCCCACCACGCCAUGAGAAGGUACAUGCUCAGCUACAUUGUUUGAUGACAAAAUGUUUCACUUAAUGCCUUUUCACUAAAAUACUUGUAAAUGGAAACAUGUGACUUCUAUUUUUUGAGUUAAUAGGUGGAGUGAAAUGUUCCAUUAGCCAACUUUUGUACGAUUCUUUUCUCCGUAGAUGGUAACAUUAGGAUGCCUUUCUCUUUAGUUGAAGUUACACAAGAGAAAACAUCAUCAUUAAAAUUAAUACACAGAAAAACCAGUCCAUUUUGUGAUAAUAACCUCAAAAUGUGAUCCAAAUAACACUAAUCAAGCAGUGUUGAGUCUUUAUAAAAUUAUGUAUUCAGCCUGUAUUAUAUGCCUAAUAUUAGCCAAAAGAAAAAAGGGGAAAGGACAGCAUUUGUCUUAUUUCCAAGAAGACAAAUAAAAAAGAAUAAUGACAAUUAAACUGAUUUUCCACUCAUCAUUCCCUCAGCUCUCAUCAUGUGGUUGCAAACCCUUUUCUCCCUCCCCUUGUAACACACAGGGUUGCCAUCAGAAGGGCUAGACCAUCAGGUUUUCCAGCCAAAACAGGGCACUUGGGAGUAUGUAAAAUUGGAGGACAGUGCAAAAUUCAUGCAGCCUAGACCUCUUCCAAGAUCAGAAAGGCAACCUCAGCAACAGCUGUUGGCCAACUGUAAGCAGCACUGAUGGUACCAUCUGGGAGGUGGUAAACUGGCAGUGGUAGUGGGAUGGAGACCCACACUCAUUUCACAUGAAUGGUUAAAUGUUAGCAGUUGCUUACAACUGAUUUAGCCAUUACAACAUCACAGAACAGCUGAGGGUAGCAGUGCCCUGGCACGUCUGGCACAACCCCAGCCCCAGCAGGGCCAUCCAGAACAGAGUACUCUGGGCAGCCUCUGCCAGUCCUCCAGUUACUGAAUGAGUAGCUUAAGGUGAAAAGCUCUCAAGGGAGAAAAAUGCUUCCAGAAGCCAAAAUACUCCUGCAUUUUCCAUCCUGACUUUGCAAGACAUGGUCUUUUGGAAAAGCAGGUAAGCAUGUGACAGUGGCACUCAAAACUUUGGUAUCUGCUCACCGCUUGUCCUGUUUAGCCCGUGGAAACAUCAGGUUUGAGACCAUGUGCUCAGCUGUGCAGUUCCAGUCCUCUGCAGAUGUUCACAGCCCUCAAAGGAUACACACUAAUAAACCUUGGUGAGCAGUGCCAGAAACAGUGGCUUUCUUUGUGAUCACCCUUCCCCACAGAGAGGAUGCUUCUGCAUGCGUUCCAAGGGGAAGAGCACCCACUUACCAAAACUGCUCAGGCAAGAUUUAACAGGCCUUAUUUCCACUUGUAUUAAUGCAUCCAUCAGCAGAUCCUCUGCAUCAAAGCUUCCUUCAGCAUCUCAGGAUUUUUCUUCAUCCUCUGGAGGACCCUCAGCAGCUGCUUGUGUUUCUAGAGCCCCUGCAGAAUCACUUACUGUGGACUCCUGGGCUGUGUCUGCUGGACCAUGGUGUAGCUGCAUGCCUGUCCCUUUCACCCAGCAAUCAGGACCUGUUUGAGAUAGAGAAGUCCCCUGUGAUGAGACUUUUUGCAUGCAAGGCACACUGAAUCAACAAAGCGGUAGCUAAAUACUCUAAUAACUAUCAUUGCUAGGCCUCAAGUCACCACAGAACGUGAGCUAAUUUGCUGUAAUUCAUUUAAUAUGUUUAGUCCGAGCAACACAAUUUCAGCCUGAUAGAUGCCCGAGAAAUCCCUUACCAGCAUUAACUGGGAGCAGGAUGCAGCACCUUCCCAGGUGCCCCCAGCUGGGGUUGCAGUGCUUUAAGGGCCCUAGGCCCUUUCCCCGGCUGCUCUGAAAGUCAGUGGCAAACUUCAAGCAAACAGGGCAGAUCACUCAAGGUCCUGGAAGCCAUACUAAUGUCCAUAAGGACCACAAGUGCCCACAGGCACUCACCCUGCAGAUGAAUGCUCACCACUCAUCUCUCCCUCUACACAGCGGUGGAUGCUGCUUCAGAUGCUCUUGUCACUGCCUCUGGGCAGCUGGGAGGAUGUGAACACCAGGACUGGUGAAUUUCCUUCUGCAGAGACAGAUGAGUUAAAACAGAUACAAGAUACCAUAUCCCCAUCUAAUUUAUUUUGGAGUAUGUACAUUCCUGAACAAGGAUAUUAGAUGGCAAAAGCUAUGAGAGCUUAAUAGCUCACAGAUGAUGCACACACACUUUGUGGACCCCAGCAGACAUCUGUGGCCCAGUCCCCAGUUUAUGCCUCUCCCUCUUUCCUUUCCUCAAACACUGUUCCAAGUGUGUAAAAAUGCUAAAUUCUACAACAAGUCCCCUUUCCACGUGACCUUGGCAACUUUGCAAUGUGAAAUGAAACCCAUCUGAAGUAUCAGCAAAGCCUUUUUUUUUUUUUUUUUUUAAAUUCUAAGACUCAGAUGACUGUUGACAGCAGAUGCUUGAUUUAAAAGGCACCAGUUGUCUUUAUCAGCAUUUGGCUAUUAACAAAUGCUAAAAAUAUUGAUGUUCUCUUUCAUUUGACACACACAACCAAGAAGUUUUCCUGAGACAGCAAAAAAUAAAGGUAAUUUUAGGCAGAAAAUUAGGAAAAAUGCUCUAAUAAUGAGGUCUAUUAGUCUGUGGAAUCCUCCCCAGGGAAAUGGUAGUAGGAAUCCAGUGCACCAGACGAAGCCUUCCAUGGAAAUGCCCUGCUAGAGCAGCUCCAAAAAGACUCCCAGGGCCCCAGAGAAAGGAAGUUCCCUGGCUGCAGAGACAAGCUCACUGGGAAUACCAAGGUAGAGCAAAGAGCACAAAAUUAAUGAGCUUCUUGAUGGGAAAUGUAGGUAUGGGUAAAGGUGCUCUGAAUGGGAAGAAAGGUCUGUACGAACCAUGUGUACGACCAUAAAUGUCAUGUGCAGACCCAACAGCAUGGGCAGUGGUAAUGGUGGGGAGCAGAAGAGAAGAAAGGAGGGAAAAAUGAGCAAGUUCAGGAAUUAGUUUAUUCAUUAACAAAAAAAAAAAAAGGAAAGAAAAAAAAAAAGCAUGUUAAAAACUGUGAUACCCAAUCACAGUAUUGCUUUUACAGGCAAACUCUAUAGCUCAUGCAAACCUGGUCCUGUCUAUUUCCCUGUGGAAAAAAAACAGGGAAUGAGAAAGGCAGGUACAUUUUGUUCUGGGGAUUUCAAGACUGAUAUUUGGCUUGAGGACUCUGCUGGUUCCAAGUCUGAUAGUUAGUAUGCCACACCAUCUCUACGGCUUAUCACUGUCACCCCCAAAAAUGGCACCUUCAGCCUGCAGAAAGCAUCUUGGGGUUUUCAAUGGCAAAAAUGAAGGAAGCAAUACUAUACUAUACUAUGAAAUACUUGCAAUCAGAACUGGAACAAACUUCACAUUGCACAGGUGCACGGAAGGUCCCAACCCCUAGAGACCCUCUAGAAUUUGAUUAAGGUAUAUGGAAACUUGACUCAUAUUUCAUGAACGUUCAUUUUUAUGAUGCAUUUUUAAAGGGACAGCUUAUAUUUUUCCAUCAUGUGGAAGAAAUUAAUAUUUUGACAGGAAUAGUAUGUUUUGAACAUGAAGCUGUUUUUAACAGCAAUUGAAGAAGUAGCAUGGGAGUAGUGGAGCUGUUGGAAGGGAGGUCAUGCAAUGAGCUAGAAACACCAAGAACUGAGGUGGAAAUUGCACUGAUAUUUCUUCUAAGAAGAGGGAGAGCAAUCAGGAAAAGGCAAAGAGUUCCAAACCCUGCACGCUGAACCUCGUUUAUGAGCUGAAGAGCACAUGGGAUCAUCUGUAUAUAGGGGUCAGCACCUUGUCUCUGCAUUGGUAUACGCAGAAGUAUGUUUUUCACUUCCCAAUGUGGUUCAGUGUGUUUCAAUUCCCAUUCCCAAUGUGGUCUGCCUAACUUACUUAGUCUUUUCAAAUAGUCAUCAAAAAUGUCUUUGUUACAUGAUGAACAACUUCUCAGAAAGAGUGGUGAGGUGUGGGAACAGGCUGCCCAGGGAGAUGGUGGAAUUAUUCUGUUCCUGUAAAACAGACAGCAUGUGCUGCAGCAGCCCCAGAACACGGGCAGCAUGAAGUACAGUUUUUCUUUAGAGCCUCACUUUUCUGUAGCCACAAAAAUGGCAGUGAAACAGGCUGUGCCCUGCUUUGUACAUGAGCCCCCACAGAAUUCAAGGGUUGCCAGAGGUUUACACCCUGACGAAAGCAGAACAAACACCAUUGUUUGCAGAAAGAUAGUUGCUCUGUGGAAGACAUACUUUGCCAAAACAUCAUCAUCACAGUAGGAACUCUCUCCAUCUGUUUUUAUGUAAAUAAUUUCAAGUGUAUGAUUUAUGUAAUGGAUUUUGUUUGAAUUAGUUUUCACCAGUGAAAUGAGGAUAAAGAUUUUCUUUUAUAUUACCCAGCUGGUUUUACUUCUUCUUAGCAUCUGAUACUUUUAUUAUUUCUAUACAAAUUCCUUUUCCGCAGGAGAUUUAUUACUUAUAGCAAUGCUGCAUGGUGUGAAUUUCUUAUAGCUCAUUCAUUUUGUCUUUCAUGUGACUACUUGAGACUGGAGAUACUAUGAUAGUGAGGAGAUCUAAAUCUGUUAAAUAUUAUGUGGUGGUUCCUCAGGAGCCAUGCCUGCAGUCCCAUCCAUAGUCUGCACCAUUUUACGCACAUCACUCAAGGAAUUAACUAAUGAGCUACUCCAGACAGAGCAGCAAAACUGAGUUAUUUCAUGCAUCAAAAUCCCUCAUGGAUGUUGAAAAUGGUGAAGUUUCAGAGACAAAGGCUAUAUUUACUGUUUUUUACUAUUUUGCCAGACAAAACCUAUAACCUCACAGGCGCUAAUGUAAAUAAUGAAUAACAAUAGAAUUUGUCAAGGCAGCUUUGAGAAAUUCAUCAGCAAUGAACACAAUGCUGCAUGGGUGUAGCUGAGAAAUUUUUUCAGACUACUGCAAUGUUUUGUGAUGUGGUAGAACCAUUCUUUGGCUCUAUGAACUAGUACAAAACUUAGCCUGACUUCCCAUGUAGUCUGGAUUCAAAGAAGAGAACAGAAGAGGAAAGAAAUUACAUACAUUCAAAUAAUUUUCUUUUGGCAAUUUCAGAUUGAAACUUUUUGACAUUUUUGUUUUGAAACUUUACUUUUAGAAGCGUCUCUUGAUCUAAAGAAUAAAGGAGAAACAAUUAGAAAAGCAAAUCAAACACUUUUGCAAUACAUACAGAACAUGAGGUCAUUUUGUAGCUGUACAGAUUCAGGUUGCACACACUGAUGCUUCAUAGAAUCAUAGACUCAUAGAAUCACUAAGGUUGGAAGAGACCUCUAAGAUCAUCUAAUCCAACCAUCCACCUACCACCAUUGUUUCCCAGUAAACCAUAUUCCUCAGUAUCACAUCUACAUAGAUGUCAUACACCCCAGGGACGGUGAAUCCACCAACUCCCUGCGUAGCUUGUUUCAAUGCCCAACCACUCUUUAUGAAGUUUUUCUUAAUACCCAACCUGAAUUAUGCUUUGUAUUAUGCUAAAUUACUGUCCCUCCAUUCAGAGGGAUACCCUAUAAAUUCAUUUACCUUUUGUAAGUGAACUGCAGGAUAGACAUGGGGGAAAAUACAAAGUAAGCAUUGCCAAGAUAUAGCAGUGAGGCAGCACCAUUUGAAACAUACUUUAGAGACUAAAGACUGUAAGCAAUUUCUAGGUAUCACCUGCAGCAAUCUCUCUAUAAAUAAGCAACAGCAGUGAGGGAGGCAACUAGGGAGAAGAACAUGAAACACAAGAUUCCCUUUGUGUUUCAAACCCAGCUCCAGAUUAAACCACAGGAAAGAGUGAGGCUGAGGGUGACAAGUUAAUGCUCUGUUGCUGAAAGACAGAGCCCAUGCUAGAGCCAGAGCUUCGCUGCAGGGCAGCCCCAAGGGAAUGUGGCUGCCACCAACCACCUGCCUGAGCCCCUCCUCAACACCUACUGCAUGCCCCGUGACAAGAAUGCACUCUCAUUGUAAAAGAUACCAGACCUAGUGCUAUGUGCCGCCUUGGUCGCCUUCUCUGGUCAGAACCUGACUCUAAAAGCCCUGGCACUACUGUAGCCUGGGGAAGAAAAGUUUGCAGCUCAAGUUUGCCCUAGUUUGCCCUAGGAGCAAAGGGGGAUAGAGUUUCUGAGCACCAUGAGAUGUGCAACUUCGGUCUACCCUGGGACCCGUAUCAGACUUUCUUUACAUCUUUUCUGUGCGAUGCAGAGAGUACACAAAAUACAGACUCAUGGCAUCUCAAAAGCCAUUAUCUGAAAUGCUCCAAGUUAAAAAUUUAUUUUUCCUUCAUGUUUCUCAUACUGUUCAGUUUUAAGCAAAUAGACAAAAUGCUAUUAAAUCAAUUCAGACAGAAUAAAAGGUAUAAAGCAAUAUAGAAUAAAAUCAAUGGCAGAGAGAGAAAUAUGAAAUAUAAGAAUUGCUUCUGGACAGUGUCUGCCACGUUCAUAGAAUCAUAGAAUCAUAGAACUACACAGUCAUAGAAUCACUGAAUGGCCUGGGUUGAAAAAAAACAUAAUGAUCAUCUAGUUUUAACCCUCUUGCCAUAGGCAGGGUCGCCAACUACUAGACCAGGCUGCCCAGAGACACAUCCAGCCCGGCCUUGAAUGCCAUCCACAACGUCCUUGAGCAACCUGUUCCAGUGUGUCAAAAACUUCCUCCUAAUAUCUAACCUAAGCCUCUCUGUCUCAGUUUAAAACCAUUCCCCCUUGUCCUGUCACUAUCCACCCACGUAAACGGUCAUUCCCCCUCCUGUUUAUAUGCUCCCUUCAAGUAUUGGAAGGCCACAAUGAGGUCUCCCUGGAACCUUCCCUCCUCCAAGCUAAACAAGCCCAGUUCCCUCAACCUUUCUUCAUAGGAGAGGUGCUCCAGCCCUCUGAUCAUCUUAGUGGCCCUCCUCUGGAUCUGCUCCACAUCUUACUUGUGCUGGGGGCCCUGGGCCUGGACACAGUACUCCAGAUGGGGCCAAGUAGAGGGGUACAAUGAGUAGUAGGGGGACAAUCACCUCCCUCUCCUUGCUGGCCACUCCUCUUUUAAUACAGCCCAUAUCAUAGUUGGCCUUCUGGGCUGCAAGCACACACUCCUGGCUCAUGUCCAGCUUCUUGUCCAUCAGGACUCCCAAGUCCUUCUCUGCAGGGCUGCUCUCAAGGAGAUCUUCCCCCAGUCUGUAUAAAUACCUGGGAUCGCCCCAGCCCCAGUACAGCGCCCUGCACUUGGCCUUACUGAACCUCAUACCGUUCUCAUGAGCCCACUUCUCCAGCCCAUCCAGGUUCCUCUGGAUAGCUUCCCUUCCUUCCAGUGUAUCGACUGCACUGCUCAGCUUGGUGUCAUCUUCAACCACUGAAAGGUCUUGCAGACUACACCACAUUGCUAUAUAGACAUAUUGGAUGUGCCUUCAGCAUUCAAUGCUUUUUAAAAAACAAGUAAACAAAUGAGCAAUCUGCAAUAUAUUUUAUCCUAGUAAAAAUAAAAUUCCUCCCUUUUUUUGUGAGAAAUGCUUGCAGCUUCUUUCCUGUUUCCUGUACAUACAGAACCUUAAAAACGGAGUUAUUUCACUUUAAAGGAGCCUCUGGAGAGCAGUGGAUCUGCUUAUAGAAUUACUGCAUGCUUGCCACAAGGUUAGCAUCAAAUUAUGUUGGGCAUAAAAUGGGAAAUAACAUGACUCUGUUAACUUACAGUGUAAGUUUCCUUAUUGUACAACUGUGUUGCUUGUGGGCAACAUUUUUAAUCUCAGCUUCUAUCCACUGUUACAGCAUAACAAGGGAGGAAGAAAAUGCACAGGACUUCCUGAGAUCUCCUUUGACAUUUGAAAAUAAAUCAGAGCCUGCAAUUUUUUUAAGAACUAAUUUUGUCCAUUUUCUGUCCUUGGCAUUGCCACAAGGACAUAGUGUUUUCCUCAAACUGUUUUUUUUCCAUCACAUUUGCCACAGUCCUUAUAGGUGUGUGCCCUUCCAACAGACAGGUCAUCAGCCAUUGUCUGCACACAUGUGAAAGCUAGCACCCAAACCUCAGCCUGUCCUCCCCGACUGACUCCAUCUCCUAAAUCUUGUCAUGAAGAGCUGCAGGUCCCACCAGAGGGUAACCAGGGAGCAAGUGCUCUUAGAACAAAACUAAAAUAUUUCUCAUAGCCUUUGCGAACUGGCUGGCAUCCUGCAUCAGGGUGCUGUUCCAUGCUCCAGUUGUCCCUCUGCACCCAUAGCUUUACUGUCCCAGGGAACGCAGUGAACCGGACUCCUUGCCCCAUGCCAGACCUUGCUUCAUGGCAGGACUUGGGACAAGGUCUUGUAGCCAGGGGAAGGGAAAGGAUCCUCACUUUCUCCUCCACCAAGGAGCAGCAGGAGUCUGGGGGCUGCAAGAGCCAUUUGCUACAGUAUGAUCUCUUUCCAAAACUCAACAUUUUUUUGCUUUCUGGUCACCAUUGACCUUGCCUGAGGCCUUCCCCAAGCAGAGGGGAAUAAAUUUUUGCAAGACUGAUUGGCUGCCAGGAGAAUAUAUAUAUAUAUAUUUUUCCAGCAUGUUACCGUAAAUAGUCUCCCUGUAAAGCAUCCUUUCACUUCUUUCUUGUUUAAAUGUCAGACGAUGUUCACAAAUGUUCCCCUUCUCUGCAUUUGUUGUUGUUGCAAGUGAAAUGUGUGUAUGAAUCCCUCACCACAUGCAUUACGCAGAGGACAGGGGGCCAAGACAACUGUGGAGAAACCCUGGAUCACAUGGAUCUCUCUGCAACUUGGACCAUCCACAGGCAGCAAAAGCAACUUUUUUCAUCACUGCAUUUUGUAUCAAUAGUCACUGGAUAAAAUACACAAAUACUAGAGAGAGUCCACAGGAGAGCCCAGCAGGAAUGAUCCCAAAAACAUGACCUCUGAGGGAAGGUUGAACAAAUGGAGGCUGUUCAGGAGAUGAAAAGACUGAGAAAGGGCAAAGCAACAAUCCUGGAAUACAUAAAGGGCCAUCAUAAUGCAAGGAGAAGCAAUGUGUUGUUUUUUGCAUCCCUGGAAAGAGGACAAAGUAUGGAGGGCUCAGCUCACCUUGGAGAAGGCUCCUAACAGAUGUUCUGGAGACCACUGAAUAGGACAGGUAGUGCAGCACUGCCCUGCAUCACAUGUAGGGUCCCUACAGCCAAGACCAAAUCAAACUUUUGUCACGAAUAACAUAGGUAUAAUUGAUCUUACUCUAGUGCACAGGAGUGGAUCUUGAAAUCCUUUUGCAGCUGCAUAUGUCUUGGUCUCCUUGGAGUAAACCCAUGCAUUCCUGGAUCUAUCCUCCUAGGAGGAAGCACAUCUGGCAUCCUAGAAGCACCACUUGAAUACCUGAAAAAUAGGAGAGAAGUUAAGGAUGGGAUGAGAAGGAGACGGAUAGGAGAGAAGUUGGGAUGAGUGAAAGUGGAUGUUCAGAAUUACCAGUUCAAGUUUAGAAAUUAUGCCCAAAUUCCACUGUUGCCUGUUAAAUAUUUCUUCUCCUACUUUGGAGCUAAAGUUUAGUCCUAUGUACCAUGGUCUCAUGAAUAACAUUAAUGAAGAUCAUGCCAAUGUCAAAUGUUCAGCACCUCUUAACAUUUUGAGGCCAACUUGUACUACUGUGCUUUAAUCUUGCACACAUUCUUCUCAAAUUUAUACACUAAAUUUGGUUACAAAAACUCAGAGGUCAUUUUAGAAUCCAACAAGCAGACACCAAAUUUGCCAUGUUAGAGUAGACAACAAGGAGUCUUUGUCUGUGUAAAACUGAGAAUCCCCAUGGUCAAGACUAGAUGUGGGAGCAAGGGAAAUUUUAAGCACAGAAAAUUUAAGGAAAGAUAGCAGACUGAAUUCAAAUGUUUCCAAACCUCUGUCACUAGCAUCAGUGCACUUAAUAGAAAUCAAGUUAAUAUGCAAAUAUUUUCAAUUCAGCUACUAUCUGUUCAUAUUUUAUUGGUUUAUUCAGUCAUAAUGUUAACAGUAAAAAUAUCUCUUCAGCACAGUGCCUUUGGGGAUAUUAAAGAAAGUUCCUUUAUUAUUUCAUGCAGCUCCUGAGAAUAGCCUAUGUGUUUUGCAUAGAUGCAGUAGGUCAGUAAAAGCCCUCUGUGUGCACUGAGUCACAAACCUACCAUUUUGCAUUUUGCAUUUGUGCAAAGGGGAGACAGAAAUAAAUAACAAAAGACAUAGGUCAGAAAGCUAGGAAAAAUCCUCCUGUUAAGCAACUCAAAGAGCGAAAUACUCAAGGCCCUUUUGAAUCAGGUUUCUCCAAGCCUUCUUCUAGAUCCUGAUAUGUAACACACAUCAGCUUACACUCUCACCUGUUUGGGUGUAUUGACUUGUGGAAUCAAAUUCUAUAACCACAAAGUAG